UACUGGAUAUGACCAAUCCCUGCAUGGGGUGUUGGUGGAAAGAUUUUAUCGGUUUUGGAUGGACUCGCGGCCUAUCAGCUUGACGGUGAGGUAGUGGCUCACCGUGGCGAUGACGGGUAGCCGGCCUGAGAGGGUGACCGGCCACACUGGGACUGAGACACGGCCCAGACUCCUACGGGAGGCAGCAGUGGGGAAUAUUGCACAAUGGGCGCAAGCCUGAUGCAGCGACGCCGCGUGCGGGAUGACGGCCUUCGGGUUGUAAACCGCUUUCAGCAUAGAAGAAGCCCUUGUGGUGACGGUAUAUGCAGAAGAAGCGCCGGCUAACUACGUGCCAGCAGCCGCGGUAAUACGUAGGGCGCGAGCGUUAUCCGGAAUUAUUGGGCGUAAAGGGCUCGUAGGCGGUUUGCCGCGUCUGCUGUGAAAGCCCGGGGCUUAACCCCGGGUCUGCAGUGGGUACGGGUAGACUAGAGUGCAGUAGGGGAGACUGGAAUUCCUGGUGUAGCGGUGAAAUGCGCAGAUAUCAGGAGGAACACCGAUGGCGAAGGCAGGUCUCUGGGCUGUUACUGACGCUGAGGAGCGAAAGCAUGGGGAGCGAACAGGAUUAGAUACCCUGGUAGUCCAUGCCGUAAACGAUGGGCACUAGGUGUGGGGGACAUUCCACGUUCUCCGCGCCGUAGCUAACG
rnacentral:rRNA from 1 species